rnacentral:rRNA from 1 species
UACGUAGGGGGCAAGCGUUGUCCGGAUUUAUUGGGCGUAAAGAGCGUGUAGGCGGCCAGGUAGGUCUGCUGUGAAAACUCGAGGCUCAACCUCGAGACGUCGGCGGAAACCAUCUGGCUAGAGUCCGGAAGAGGAGAGUGGAAUUCCUGGUGUAGCGGUGAAAUGCGCAGAUAUCAGGAAGAACACCCGUGGCGAAGGCGGCUCUCUGGGACGGUACUGACGCUGAGACGCGAAAGCGUGGGUAGCAAACAGG